rnacentral:lncRNA from 1 species
GGGAUGCGCGGGUAGGCUUGAUUCGGUUUCGGGUUCCUUUGAUAUUAAUUGUACCUAAUUGUCGGUCUACUAGUGGGUUCUCAUCUAGGGAAAGUGGGGAAAUUGAAACCGCCAAUAAUAGUAUAAGGGAUGCCGUUAUAAGCUAAGAUCGUUAGAGUUUUUGGUCAUUAUCUCGUUGGAAAAGAAAAAAAAAUGAAAUAAACGAGCUAGAAACUAAAUGAAAGUAGCUAUUCCUAUGUAGUCUGUGGUUGGGGAUAGCGACUCUACAGCCGGAUUACCGCUAGGGUGUGUGAAAUCGACCUUGCAAAAUAAAUAAAAAGUACCGAAGCCUAUGUAAUCUGUGGUUAGGGAUAGCGACUCUACAGCCGGAAUGCCUCUGGGUUAGGGAAAGCGACGUCUACGAUCGUAAAAGAAAAAAGAAAAAAAAAAUGAGAAAAAGUGAUGAAAAAGAAAAAAAUGGAAAGAAAAGAUUUGAUUCUAAACUCUCUUGGUUUUGAUAUAAGACGGUUGGGAAUUGGUCCAGUGAUCGUUCUCUUUGUCCUAUAAGUUUGAGGUGGGAUUAGAUGGGCCUGUGAUUUUUAGUGUGAGACCCUAGGUAGAUUGACCAUAAUUGAACUAAACUUGCAUGAUAAGGGCUUGGAACCGGGUUUGGGUUUAAGAGGAUCGAAAUACUUGCAAUCGCGGCUAACACUAGUUUCAGUUUUAAUAAACAAUUUAAGCUUGUGUCCCGAAUGAUUAUUCCGCCUAUGAUUCCGUUUUGCAUAAUUCUUUUUCGGGGACGAAAAAAGGUUAAGUGUGGGGAUAUUUGAUGUGGGGUAAAAUACAUAUAUUUGUCCCGUGUCCUGGUGCAAAUGGAGAAAAAACGAGUAAUGUGGAAAUGACCAGCCAGUUGGGCAGAGUGGAGUGCCAGAGACCGAAGUAAAAUUGCAGCAUUUUUCUGUGACUGGGCUGAGGCCACCAUCUCUAUUUUAUAAGUUAGAGAAAGUGCUACAAUAUAUAUUCGAAUCGAGAGGAAGGGUUAGGCCCACAUCAAUAUAUGGUUUUUAUAAUUUGAGUCCAUUGGUGUUGGAUCGUAUGAAGUUGGGCGUGAAGUUGGGUCGUGAAAGCUUGCUACCAGCAAUACCCAUCAUAUUUGGACAUAAAGAAUUAAUUAUAUGUGCAUGCCUUCAUUAUGGAGCUAAUUGGCAAAUCACAUUGGGCUGCCAAAUCUAGAAGUCCAGAUUGUUUGCGUAAUCUUUUAUGGGAGUGGGCCAUAAUGAUCUCUUAUAUUAUUAUUUAAUUAAUUAAAUAGAAUACUUGGGACACAAGGCAUAUUAUAAUGAAGAGGCGGCUGACAUUAUUGAAGGAAGAUAUAUAUUAGGAAGGGGAGUCGCACAGGAGGAUUAUUAACGAAGUCAUUCGAUCAUACGGGAGAAGAGCCGCACAUAAUUCGACGGGGAGGAGACGCACGAACAACAUCAGUUUUAAAGAUUGUUUUGCAAGAAAUCAAGUUUGGGGGAAUCAUUGGGGUCAAGUGGGAAGCUUAGAGAUCAAGAAAUUUACGGGUUCUACCUUACGAUUUCUUUUAUUUUCUAGUUUCUUGUUCUUACUUUGAUGAAUUCUUGUUUGAGAUCUUGUUUGAUUAUUUUUGAGACCAUGUUUCUUGGCUAAAAACCUUUAACUACCUAGGCUAAUGACAAUAGUUUAAUAAAGUUUGGAUUUUU